CCUUCAUUCAGAACCGAAGAUAGAGUUAGUUAGUUGAAGUGUAGCGGUAACCUCGCUACAGUCACUAUAAACUGUCAGUAUUUGUUAAAUGGGAAGUGUUUGUGUUAUUUGUAGAGUUUACUGACAGUUAACAUUUGACACUCUCCAGCUCCAGGAUAGAUUCCAGUAGUUUAGUUAGAGAUUUUAAUAGAUGGUCAAAGUUUGAAGGGUUCAAAUUUGGUGGAGCAGUGUUUGUGUGUUGAUAGAGUGAGAAGGUUGAUAGUGGAGAUAGCUAGAGCGGAGGAGAUAACUGGAGAUACCAACCAUGGACCUUUUACUGAUAUCAUUGUCACUAAUAUCCCUCAGUUCCUACUCCAUCGAUGCAGCCAUCUAUGUUCCCAAACACGGUCAUUACCUCUCAUCGGGAAUUAAAAGCUAUUCCAGUCCGUUCCCAGUUAAACUGGUCAAAGUAACGAAUACGGUAGCCGUUCCCGUUCCCUAUCCAGUUCACAUAACAAAGACCGUUCCUUACCCGGUAACCGUUCACAAACCAUUCCCCUAUCCUGUUCCUCAUCCGUUACCGGUUGAAAUCACGAAGCCAGUAAUCAUCCAGCAGGCAGUACCUGUUCCAGUUCCCAAGCCGGUAGCGGUUCCCAAACCGAUACUGAUCAGUGAUGGAUUGGUGCCUCCUAGUGCAACAGGAAGCCACGGCUACCUAGGUUACUCAUUCUACGGCCUCUCCAGCCUCUCCCAACCGUCCGCCCACGACAGCAAAGAAGUUCUCUUCAACCGCGGACCAAUCACCUUCCAGCAGCGCCUCCCCGGUCCGGACUACGAUUACACCGCACCUCCGGAUGUCAGCUCACAAGCCUCCGACUACGGCGAGGGAGCUCCGUCUCAGGACUUCCAGCCUCCGCCCAACGCUCCGUUCGAGCCCUUCCGGAGCACCGAGUUCGAACCUUUCCGAAGCGCCGAGUUCGAGAAUGUCCGGAGUGCCGAGUUCGAGCACCUCAGGAGUUCGGAGUUGGGCAGUGCGUCCUCGGAGCAGGAAAAGGAUAGCUAUUUCCCACGACAGGAAGACGAGUCGGAAGAGAAGGAUGUGUCUGAUAGGUCAUAGGAUUUGACUGUUUAGGAUUUUUGAUGUAGGUGACAAAUCCUUUAAGGGUUCACUGAAAUUAUAGAGAGGACUUUGAAAAAGAUAAAAUGUUCUGAAUAUUGAAAGCUAUAAUUGUUCUCGCAUAAAAUUUUUUGUCAAGGAUGAUGCUCACUUGAGCUCUGAGCUUUAAUUGUUGUCAAAUAAUUUUUUUGCGUAGGAUGAUGCCCACAAGAGCUCUAGGCUUGUGCGUGGGUAAUUAGACGGAUGAUAAUUAGAGAUGAGUGGACCUACAGCUUAGUAUGGGUUCAAAACUCAUUUUAUUGAACACACCGAAGCUGCGUCUACACCAAAGUUAUUAACAAAAUGUUGAUAGCUUAAUCGUUAUAGAAUCUAUUAGAUUGAACGGAACUUGACAAAUAUAUAUGUUCAUCAUGUGUAUGAUAAGUUAUGUUCAAUCUAAUAGAAUAUAUAAGGAUUAAGUUAUUAACAUUUUAUUAAUAACUUUGGUGAUUAAGUUAUCAACAUUUU
rnacentral:misc_RNA from 1 species